AUGGAUGCUUCAAAUAUUGCACUUUUCUUAGCUCGGGCUGUGAUUGAUGAUAUGCUUUCCCUAUUGAACUUGGAUGAAACUAGUAAUAGGCUACCACCAAAAGCAGGGGUACAACUCGAACACUUGUUUAUGCUCGCCACACAGAGGAAUAGCAUGAAGCAACUCGAGGGAAUUGAAGUUAACUCAGGAAAAAUAGGUUUAGGAUAG